rnacentral:tRNA from 1 species
UGUCUAGGGGAUGGGGGGAAUCGAACCCACAGUGUUCCGCUUACCGGGCAGAUGCCAUGUCCACUAGCUACCCUGGAC